rnacentral:snRNA from 1 species
AGAUUUAACCUGGCAGUAGAGCUACCGUGAUCAAAGGUGGUUUGCCCAGGGUGAGACUCACCCACUGGAUUCUGGUGUGCUAACCUUUGCAGUUUCCCCACAUGCGGGAAACUUGAGUGCAUAAUUGAUGGUGC